ACUACUAUACGCUGUGUCAGGGUUCUAGUCAAAAGAUGGCGGCAUCCUGGCCUAGAGCCCUAGUAUUCGUAAGCAGAAAGGCUGGGGCUACAGCUGAGGGAGUGUUUGACUGCCCCACAGAAAACCCUGGUUUCAAUCCCUAGUACCACCGAAAAAUAAAAUAUAAAAAGUCACGUGUGGCGGUACCUGCCUGUAAUCCUAGCACACACUCCAAUUCGGGGACAGUCUAGUCCCCCAGGACAAGUACCAAUGUGCAGAUAUUGUUCUUCAUGUGGGAACCUACCUUCUUCCUGGGGUCUCUCUAAUAUCAUCUUAAGCAGAGAAGAGAGCUACUUGCUGAAGCUCUGGGAACAUCAAGAGAGGCCACGUCCUUGAUGCUUCUGGAGCUAAAGCUAAGAACAGGUGGAGACUCCCGGAGUGUGGAUAGAGACUUUCCUUCUCCUGUAGGAAGGAUGACUGCCCAUCACUAGUGCGGACCAAGAUGGUGAGGUGAGGAUGGACCCUCCACCGAGGAUGCCCCCAAUGUCCUUUGCCACUCCGAGAUCCUACAGCUCCAUGAAGGUGCAGCAUGUGGUCCCCAGCCCACGAGUCUCACACUUGCAGCUGCGUGCUUUUCUAUGAUAUGAAUAUUGAAAUGUCAUCUGAUUGCAUUAUACGUCACCAGUGGGGGUAUAAAGAGGAAAAAAAACCUACGGGUCCUGCGCGGCACCUCUCCUUGGAUGUCUUACAGGACCCAGAAAAACAACAUCAGCCCUAGGCAUAGCUACUACGGGCCUGCUUCUCCCUGACACUCUUCCACCUCCCUGCCCCUGGCAGCACCUAGGACUGGGGGUCCCAGGAAUGGGAGUCACAUGGUCAAAGGCGUGGGGCCCAGUCACCCCAGGUUUUUCCUCACUUUGAGAGUUUCAUCCACUUCGUGGUCAGAAGCGUCUUCUAUUGCUGCUGCUGUUGGUUGGUUUUGUUGUUUUGUUUUGAGACACUACACAGAAGGCUGGCUGGUCUGGAACUUAACUGUGGACAAUCUAGGCUAACCUCGAACUUAUGGCACUCCUCCUGCCUCAGCCUCCCAAGUGCUGGGAACUGCAGGUGUGCACCACCACACCUGCCUUCGUGAGUUCUUUUUAUGACCCUUCUCCAUCAUCUACCCAGCUUUCCCUCUUCGUGGAGACCCCAAGCUAGAAGCAGACAGUAGCAUAUACUCUCCCCAGUGUUCUCCUUCUCCCCUCCUCCCUAGCUAACCAUCUCAACACCCCAGCACUCUGGCUGAACCAGGAGGAAGAAACAGCACUGCGUGCAUGGCUGUAAUGGAGGGGCCUCUAGACAGAGGAUCGAUGACUGUAACCAGGCAGCGGGGCAAGGGGGGGGGGGAUUAGCAGCAUGCCUCCAACCCCUAUUUGCUCCUGCCUUCUAUUUUCCUAGCCCGUGUACCCAGUGGUCACAAAAAAGGCAGAGGCAGAGGAGCCCCUGGGGGUCAGAGGACGGUACAGACAGAUGAAGAACAGCCACAUACCCAGCCCACGUUAACCCUGACUCUCUGCUGGUGCCUCUGCCCCAUUCUCUCAGGCGAUAAGUGAACUGCUCUGUUUUCUCAUCCUAAAGAAUUGCGCCAACUGGGAGCACUCACCGCUGUGGCUCCUGCAGGCACCCUGCCCUCAAGAUUGCAUUCUCCAGCUCACAUAGCCCAGCAAGGCACUGCCCCCAAAGAAAGACCUCUGAGGGAUCCGUCAGGCUGAUUGGAGGCAGUUGAGCGCAAAUCUGGAGAAUUUUCCAGCCAGAAGGCUAGAUCCAUUCACGGCCCCCAGAGAGAUCUCAAUAUCUGCUUGUGUGGGUUUCCUUGUGCCAACAGCAAAAUUGAUCAUCCUAACCACUUAAACAAGAGUGAUCCAUUACUUUGAACUAAAAGGACGCUUGUCAACUACGGGAACACCCUACAUGAGUUAAAACACCGGCAGCUGGCAGCAGCCUCAGCGGACUGUUGGGAUCUGCUUGAAGGUGUCCUGCAUUUGGUCAUUAUUGCAGCCAUGGUUAAUCUGUCAUUUGGCCUUGGAGGGCAUCCCAGAACCAAAACCCAGAGUCCACUGUACAGCGAGGUGACACAGGACCUUUGGACCCCAUGCCAAGGGCUCCCAAAUUGUCCUGGUUUGGGUCAGUGCUGUAGUUUGGGUGGACUAGAAGAUGGGCUGGCUCAAUAGCCCAGGCAGGCAUGUGGCUCAUUUGUUCUUGCCAAGGAGGAGUGUUGUGGCCAGGCAAGGAAUAACUCUGAGAUUCGCUGCCAUUGCAACCCUGAAAAAAAAAAAAAAAAAGG